rnacentral:rRNA from 1 species
CAUACACGAGAACGGGCCAKAAAUGGUCAACUCUUUGGACACUCGUGAACAGGUGGUGCAUGGUUGUCGUCAGCUCGUGUCGUGAGAUGUUGGGUUAAGUCCCGCAACGAGCGCAACCCUCGUUCUAUGUUGCCAGCGCGUAAUGGCGGGAACUCAUAGGAGACUGCCGGGGUCAACUCGGAGGAAGGUGGGGAUGACGUCAAAUCAUCAUGCCCCUUAUGUCUUGGGCUUCACGCAUGCUACAAUGGCCGGUACAAAGGGCUGCAAUACCGUAAGGUGGAGCGAAUCCCAAAAAGCCGGUCUCAGUUCGGAUUGAGGUCUGCAACUCGACCUCAUGAAGUCGGAGUCGCUAGUAAUCGCAGAUCAGCAACGCUGCGGUGAAUACGUUCCCGGGCCUUGUACACACCG